rnacentral:rRNA from 1 species
GUCACGUGUAACGGAGAAUUAGGGUUCGAUUCCGGAGAGGGAGCCUGAGAAACGGCUACCACAUCUACGGAAGGCAGCAGGAGCGAAAAUUGCCCAAUCCUGACACGGGGAGGCAGUGACAAGAAAUAACAACUCUAGGUUAUUCUUAGAAGUGUAAUGAGGAUAAUUUACAACCCUUACCGAAAGCAAUUGGAGGGCAAGUCUGGUGCCAGCAGCCGCGGUAAUUCCAGCUCCAAUAGCGUAUAUUAAAGUUGUUGCAGUUAAAAAGCUCGUAGUUGAAAUUCUGGCUGCUCGGUCCUCGAGCUCUGUAGCCGAGGAAUCGACAGUCAUCCGCUUGCAAAUAUAGUUCGCCUUUAACCGGGUGGCUAUAUGAGUAAGCAUUUUACCUUGAGAAAAACAGAGUGUUCCAGGCAGGUUUGUCCGGAAUGCAUUAGCAUGGAAUAAUAGAAUAUGACUGAAGUCUAUUUAUUGGUUUAAGGCUUUAGUAAUGAUUAAUAGGAACAGUCGGGGGCAUUGGUACUUGUCAGUCAGAGGUGAAAUUCUAGGAUUUGACAAAGACUAACAAAUGCGAAAGCAUUUGCCAAGGAUGUUUUCAUUAAUCAAGAACGAAAGUUAGGGGAUCAAAGACGAUCAGAUACCGUCCUAGUCUUAACUAUAAACUAUACCGACUCGGAUUCGGAUGAAUCAAAAAGUUCAUUCGGGACCGUAGGAGAAAUCAAAGUUUUUGGGUUCUGGGGGAAGUAUGGUCGCAAGGCCGAAACUUAAAGGAAUUGACGGUUUUGCACCACCAUGGAGUGGAGUCUGCGGCUUAAUUUGACCCAACACUGGGAAACUCAUCAGGGCAAGAAGAUUUUAGGAUUGACAGAUUGAGAGUUCUUUCUUGAUUGGUCUAGUGGUGGUGCAUGGCCGUUCUUAGUUGGUGGAGUGAUUUGUCUGGUUAAUUCCGUUAACGAACGAGACCUUAACCUGCUAACUAGUACACUGAUGACAAAUCAGUGUUACUUCUUAGAGGGACUAUGUGAUGUAAUCACAUGGAAGUUUGAGGCAAUAACAGGUCUGUGAUGCCCUUAGAUGUCCUGAGCUGCACGCGUACUACAAUGGUGCUUUCAACGAGCUUUUCCUGAUCCGAAAGGAUUUAGGUAAUCUUUUUAGUGAGCACCGUGCUUGGGAUAGAUCUUUGUAAUUAUGGAUCUUGAACUAGGAAUUCCUAGUAAGCACAGGUCAUCAGCCUGUGCUGAUUACGUCC